CCAGGAGACCAUGUCCUCGCCUCUCCUGGUCCUCGCUCACCCCUCCAGCCUGUGACAUAAGAGCCAGAAUUUUGCCCGGCGCCCGGGGACAGGCCGGCCAACCCUCCUGCAGAGAGCUGAUGCGCCCCGGAGCCAGGAGCCAGCGGCAGAGGGGAAAACAAAGCACAAAGAGGGACCUGAAGUAUGUCCUUCUUGGAAGCCGGAGUCGGGAUUAGAGUGGUGGCCGGAGCCACGGAGUCCAACAAGAGGAACAUUAUGUGGCCUGUGGCAUCAGGGGCAGCCCUGUCCGCGGGCUGGGCCAGCACCUUGAGCCCUGCCCCAAGGACCCCCACCUCUGCACCAGCCACACCUCUGAGGGACGCGUGCCAGUGCAGCCACCCACCGGCGGGCCCCACGGCCCGGUCUGUCCGAGCAGGAGGUCGAGGGUGGUGGUCAGGGAGAUAUUUCUGGAAGGCUCGCUCCAUCAGAGAGGUGGUGAGAAACUUGGACUCCCCUCCAGCAAAGGGUCUUGUGGUCCCUCCACAAACAGUCCAGACAUGCACUUACUUCAUCAAAGGGAAAGGUUCUGGGUUCAGGCCCUGGGGCUCAAUGAGUUUAUCUGCAAGAUAAAUUGCCCAGACAAGAAAUUUUCAAAGCCCACCUUCCAUGCAGCUCAGAACACUUGUAUCUGGGUGAAGGAGCCCCCAAGUCCCUGCCCCCGAUCUAGCCAUCCAUUCCCCCCCCACCAGAGCCACCCCAAGCCUCCUUGCAUGUUGUGAGAAGGUAGUUGCGGACAAUGAGGAAAUGGAUGGGUGUGGGUGUGUUCCAAUAAAACUUUAUGUA